GAAAUGCGAUAAGUAAUGUGAAUUGCAGAAUUCAGUGAAUCAUCGAAUCUUUGAACGCACAUUGCGCCCGCCAGUAUUCUGGCGGGCAUGCCUGUUCGAGCGUCAUUUCAACCAUCAAGCCCCCGGCUUGUGUUGGGGACCUGCGGCUGCCCGCAGGCCCUGAAAAACAGUGGCGGGCUCGCUGUCACACCGAGCGUAGUAGCAUACAUUCUCGCUCAGGGCGUGCUGCGGGUUCCGGCCGUUAAACGACCUUCAUAACCCAAGGUUGACCUCUGAUCAGGUAGGAAGACCCGCUGAACUUAAGC
rnacentral:misc_RNA from 1 species